AUUGAACGCUGGCGGAAUGCUUUACACAUGCAAGUCGAACGGCAGCACGGGGCAACCUGGUGGCGAGUGGCGAACGGGUAAGUAAUACAUCGGAACGUGCCCAGUCGUGGGGGAUAACGUAGCGAAAGUUACGCUAAUACCGCAUACGAUCUAAGGAUGAAAGCGGGGGAUCGCAAGACCUCGCGCGAUUGGAGCGGCCGAUGUCAGAUUAGGUAGUUGGGGGGGUAAAGGCCCACCAAGCCGACGAUCUGUAGCUGGUCUGAGAGGACGACCAGCCACACUGGGACUGGGACACGGCCCAGGCUCCUACGGGAGGCAGAAGUGGGGAAUUUUGGACAAUGGGCGCAAGCCUGAUCCAGCCAUUCCGCGUGCAGGAUGAAGGCCUUCGGGUUGUAAACUGCUUUUGUACGGAGCGAAAAGGCUCUCUCUAAUACAGGGGGCUCAUGACGGUACCGUAAGAAUAAGCACCGGCUAACUACGUGCCAGCCGCCGCGGUAA
rnacentral:rRNA from 1 species